CUUUGACGGAAACGUCUGUGCGGGGCAUGAUAUCCGUUAGUAAGACCUGUUUCACUGUCUUUUAUCUCUCGGUCAUCAUCACACAUGGAGGGGCUGCACAUUUUUCUGGUCGUUCUCUUAGGAGUUGUAUCCUGCAGUCAUGAUUCAAUUUCUGGAUCAGUGUUGGAGGCGACAGUCAGACCAGGAGACAACAUCACUCUCUACUGUGACUGUAAAUCAUCAAGUGGAGUAUACAUAGUGUGGUACAGGAACUGCUCUCAUGAGAACCAGCCUUCUCUUGUCCUUAGAGUAAUACGCGGUCCAUCGGCGGCCGACGAAUCUUAUUAUAAUCUGAAGAUUCUCCCUCGUUUUCAAUUUGUGAGCAACUCUUCUUCUGAAUCCUAUGACCUGCUGAUCAUGAACAUCACUGAGUCUGAUGAGGGCCUCUACUACUGUGGAACUGAACAG